CCUACGGGGUGCAGCAGUGGGGAAUAUUGCACAAUGGGCGCAAGCCUGAUGCAGCCAUGCCGCGUGUAUGAAGAAGGCCUUCGGGUUGUAAAGUACUUCCAGCGGGGAGGAAGGUGUUGUGGUUAAUAACCACAGCAAUUGACGUUACCCGCAGAAGAAGCACCGGCUAACUCCGUGCCAGCAGCCGCGGUAAUACGGAGGAUGCAGGCGUUAAUCGGAAUUACUGGGCGUAAAGCGCACGCAGGCGGUCUGUCAAGUCGGAUGCGAAAUCCCCGAGCUCAACCUGGGAACUGCAUUCGAAACUGGCAGGCUAGAGUCUUGUAGAGGGGGGUAGAAUUCCAGGUGUAGCGGUGAAAUGCGUAGAGAUCUGGAGGAAUACCGGUGGCGAAGGCGGCCCCCUGGACAAAGACUGACGCUCAGGUGCGAAAGCGUGGGGAGCAAACAGGAUUAGAUACCCCAGUAGUC
rnacentral:rRNA from 1 species